UUAUAUAAAUCAAAACUAAUAAAAAAUAAAAAUAAACAAAGAAGAUUCAUCUUCUUCUAAUCCCCAUCCCACCCCGUCGCAUCAAGCUUGCACCACCAUGGCCGCUUCCAGAGCAAGCAAAAACAGAAAAAAAAAGGAUGAAUGUCAGAGAUUUGAACCCAGCACCCUAACCCAACUCACCGCUCAUGCGACUCAUUUAUCUCUCUCUCAUUUAUUUUCGCCGGAAUCGAAACCCAAAUUAAGAUCACUACCGUUAGUCAAAAUUAAACAAGUAAUCAAGGUUGGGGUAGGGGGCUUGCAUCAAAGGGGAACAGGGUGAGAUUCGUGAGAGUAGGUUUGGAGCGAUGGGUUGGGGAAGGACCCAUUAGGGAGGGGCAGUGAUCUGAUUAGGGCUUCACCAAAAAUAAAAAAUAAAAAAAAAAAAUAAAAAAAAACAACAACAACAACAACAACAACAACUACUAGAGCUCUGUUCUUCCUUCUUAGUAAUUUCACAAUAAACAAAUAUAGCUAUAUUCUUCCUCUAAAAUUAAAGAUUUUUUCCAUCAAAAAUUGUGUUAGAAUUUUAAAACUGAAGUCCCAACUGGAUCGUUGUGAAAAUUGGAAACAAUUGACAAGUUCUAUAGACAAAAUCCCUCAACUCGAUUUGGUGGGUUCUGGGCAGCUGUAGAGGCUUCUUGUUUCGUUCUUCACGACGGCCAACUUUUUUUUUUUUCCACAUCAUAAUAUUUAAUUAAACUUGUGGGAUCCUCUUAUGUGUCACAUCAGCACAUAAUAGAAUUUUUGACAUAAUUGUGACGGAAUGACCACAUUGAUUUGCGACGUCCAUUUUCAGGAACUGCAUUGAUCGCUUUUUGAAUUUCAAGACCAUCUUAAUGGGAUAGGUCAAUUUCAAAGAUCAUUUGUGAUAAAAACCCAUAAAAAUAUAUCAUUGAUUAGAUCCAAAACAAAAAUAUAUCAUUGAUAUAUGGCUUAAUAGUAGAUUUUUUUAUCCAUUUUUGGCUAAAUUAUUUUUAGCCAGAAAUU
rnacentral:lncRNA from 1 species